GCUCGCAUGCGUGGCGAAGGGAGGGGGUGGGGUCGGUCCCCGCUCCCCCCACCCGAACCCACACACACCCGAGCGCCGCGUUAGGUUCUGCUGCUUUGCCGCAGAAGAUGGGUGAGCAGAAAGUGAGUGCCGGCGGCGGCGGGAGCCUGCGCCCCCCCACCCCCCCCGCGGGGCGCCGGUUGCUGCGGGCGCGGGCGGCAGCUGCGGCGGUGUCUCUGCAAAGCAUUGUCUCUACUCCAGUGAAGAAAAAUGGUGACAUUCACAACCUCAUUGACAUACUACAACAGACAAUAAAAAUGUUCAGGUAAGAUCUUCUAAUGCAAUCACCGAUUUGGAGAAAGGAUGUGGUGGUCUGUGUUCUGUGUUGGCUGAGAUAGAGGCGUAUGACCAGCUGUAUUUGGUGAGAAGAGGCUUGGAAACUUCAUGCUCUGCAGGUAACUUUAUCUGUAAAUUUUUGCAGCUGAGUAGAAACAGUUUUAAACUGUUAGUUUAAAUCUCAACUGAAAGUGAGAUUUUGGUAAUGUUGCAAGAAAUGCAGUAAGUGUAAGGUAAAUGUUGUGUUUGAUAUAAGUACGUCUCUGGUCCCUUCUUCUAGGGUACUUCAUGGUCUCUGUCAUAUUUACGUUCUCAACAUUACAUGGGAAAGAAGUGAUAUUACCCACAGAGGUUGCAGGUGGAGAGUGUCUGCAUAGGAUAAAAUAAUUUCCUUUUUCAAGGCUACUGCUACAUUAAACAGUACCUGUUCAUUGAUGAUGUGCAGCUCUUUGAAUAUAAAUUGUAGUGCACACAUGUGUAAUCAUUUCUUCGCUUCUGAAAUCCUGAUGUUGGGAGAAACAGGCCUUAAAAUGAAAUCUGGCUUUUAAGUCGGACUUCACCACCUAUCCAACUUUUUCCCCUUUGAAUUUAAAGGAUGUGCCAUGUAUCACUGUGCACUUGUCAAGCACAGUGACGUUUUAAUUAACGUGAUGUGUCAGAGGUAAUAGCCAUGAUUAGGUAAGGUAAUGAGUUGUUACAAGUGCAUAGCAAAGCCAUGGAGUUUUAGUACUGGUAGUUUAUAAACCAAUUUUUAAAUGUGAAUACAUCAAAUUGUUCUUACUUUCUAUUUUUGCUUCAGAAUUAGGUUGAUCUGUGUAUUAGUGCUCUAAAGAGCUCUGAGGAUCUGCUGAAGCUUGCUGAACCAGGAGGAAGAGCAUGCAGAAUGCUUUAUGGUAGAAAAUAUUGACCAGAUGUGCAGAUGUUGGUAUUUGUCUUAAUUUGAAAUAUCCUUUGCAUUACUGCACUGGGCCUGCAGACUUAUCAGGAAUACUGAGAGAAAGAAUAGAGAUGCAUGUAAAAAUUCAUAUAAUGCUCUGUUGAGGAGGCCAAGUCAAUAUAAUCUUGAAUUUUUAUGCAGUCUCCAGUAAAAUAAGGAUUUUUCUCUUAUUCAGAAUGGGGGGGGAGGGAAAGGAAUACCUUCUCCUGGAUGACGUGUCAGUGUAAAGCAAACUUGCACUCAUGCUGGGUAAGCGAAUUCAGAAAGUGAGGGUGAAACAAAUCUUGACAUACCUGAACCAAGACUUGCAAAAUAUGUGACGGCCAGCACUCAGAGCCACGGCAGGUGAUCUGUCAGUUUCACAGGACUGUUACAUGACACUGGCACAGAGUCUCUGUAUUCUCUCUGCAGCCAUCCAUGGCUGACAACAUGUUUGUUUUGCAGAACUUCAGGCAAGCUGUGGAUCUUCAGUUUGCAAACCUGAUCUCUAUAGCUGCUCUGAAAGAUCUUGGGAAAUUGAAUUCAGGGCAACUCUUCCUCUAUUCCCCAAAACCUUCUAAUGCAUUCGUAUACUGUGCAGACAAGAGCCUGGUUUGGGCCUCACAUUGCUGUGAGUUGUAGUGGCUCCAGCAUUCUGUGUGUCUCUGAUACGAAGGGUCAGUGACAGCAUGACUCAUCUGAUGGUGGAUUUCACUCUUGAAAAGGCACACUUGAGGCUCUGAAGUUUUUGACAGGCCUGAAAUUUGAUUCGAAGUACAUGAUUUUCAGAGUACGAGCUUGCAACAAAGCUGCGGCAGGGAGUUACUGUGAUCCUGUGAUUCUGGAAACCAAAGUUUGGACCCUACUUCAGCUCAUGUGAACUUGAAAGUUGAAGGUACCUAUGUUGAAUGGGAUCCUAUAGGAGGCAGAGGCCAAGGAAAAAUAAAAGGGAAGGAAAAUAAAAGCAGGAGUGGUGUAGAGUCCCCAAAGAUGAUGCAUCUUAGCACAAAGUCCUCACUGAGGGCCAGGGAUUCAUUUAUUGGUGAACCAUGCACAAUGUUGGUUCAGAUGUUGGUAUU